rnacentral:rRNA from 1 species
UACGUAGGGGGCAAGCGUUGUCCGGAAUCAUUGGGCGUAAAGCGCGCGUAGGCGGCCCCGUAAGUCCGUUGUGAAAGUCGAAGGCUCAACCUUCGAAAGCCGAUGGAUACUGCAGGGCUAGAGUCCGGAAGAGGCGAGUGGAAUUCCUGGUGUAGCGGUGGAAUGCGCAGAUAUCAGGAAGGACACCUAUGGCGAAAGCAGCUCUCUGGGACGGUACUGACGCUGAGACGCGAAAGCGUGGGGAGCGAACAGG